rnacentral:lncRNA from 1 species
GGAUCGCCGCCGGCUCCGCCGCCGCGCUCGAGAUCACCUGCCACGCCUGCAUGCAGCGCUUCCACCCUGCUUAACUGCCAUAGAUAGCAUGCCAUGCAUGUUCUCGAUCAUAGCUACCUUAACUAUUAUAUUAGCUGCUGCCAAGGACUUUGUUUAAGAGUGUUUUAUAUAUCCGUUAAUUCAGGGUCGAUCGCAUCGUCAUCAUCUGGUUGGUGAUUUCUGUGAAGAAAAGGGAAAGGACAGCAGGAGCUAGCAGAUCAGUGUUCUUCUCUCGCUUUUCUUGUAGAAUACUGCAUCGUCCGUUUCCAGCCUAAAAGGAGAGGGAAAGGGAAUCUAGCUGCCAGUUUAGCUUUAGCUAGUGGUGUGCAAUUUGGAUAAGCUGGCCUCACUGUUGCGUUAGUUGGCCAUCUUUGCGCAACACAUGCAUGCAAUUGCUUCAGGGAUCUAUGGCAAAGGAUUCAGAACGACUGUUAGUUUGUAAUUCAGUAAUUCUGUCUAAAUUUUAUAGGAAACAUUUAGAACAGAUAGGAAUUCUUCCUAUGUUUCCAAACGGACAUGAAAUCUUUCUUGGUUAGUUGCGGUAUCCAGUGGCAGUGUCAAGGCCAGGGUCCUGGACCACGCUUGAUCCAAAGCAUGAAAGCG